rnacentral:lncRNA from 1 species
GAAGAACUAAAGCUAACCAAGGCCAACCACCAAGAAAUUGUCAAGAUGAAUGUUGACCUGGUUCAAAGGUAUGAAAUAAGAAUGGGGAAAUUAAGGAGCUGAAAGCCAGCAAUAAGAGCUUGGCUAAAUUGGUCGAACAACUGGAAUUAAAAGAAUCUGGUCAUCUGAAUAGGCGCUAGAAGCUUGAGGAAGAAAUCCGAGAACUUCGGGCUCUUCGAG